AUACGGAGGAUGCGAGCGUUAUCCGGAUUUAUUGGGUUUAAAGGGAGCGUAGGCGGGAGCUUAAGUCAGCGGUUAAAUGGUGCGGCUCAACCGUGCCCUGCCGUUGAAACUGGGUUUCUUGAGAGUGCAAGAGGCGGAUGGAAUUCAUGGUGUAGCGGUGAAAUGCUUAGAUAUCAUGAAGAACUCCGAUUGCGAAGGCAGUCCGCUGGGGCACGUCUGACGCUGAUGCUCGAAGGUGCGGGAAUCAAACAGGAUUGGAUACCCUGGUAGUCCGCACGGUAAACGAUGAUUACCCGCUGUCGGCGGCAGACAGUCGGCGGCCAAGCGAAAGCGAUAAGUAAUCCACCUGGGGAGUACGCCGGCAACGGUGAAACUCAAAGGAAUUGACGGGG
rnacentral:rRNA from 1 species